ACGGAGGAUGCGAGCGUUAUCCGGAUUUAUUGGGUUUAAAGGGUGCGCAGGCGGAAGAUCAAGUCAGCGGUAAAAUUGAGAGGCUCAACCUCUUCGAGCCGUUGAAACUGGUUUUCUUGAGUGAGCGAGAAGUAUGCGGAAUGCGUGGUGUAGCGGUGAAAUGCAUAGAUAUCACGCAGAACUCCGAUUGCGAAGGCAGCAUACCGGCGCUCAACUGACGCUCAUGCACGAAAGUGUGGGUAUCGAA
rnacentral:rRNA from 1 species